CCCAAAGGGAAAAAAAACACUGUGACGCCCACAAAAACCAUUUACCACGUGACUCGAGGCCACGAUCUAUGCGGUUCAUCUUUAUCUCCCCCCAAAAAUUUCCAGAACGCUAAACUACACUUUUCAUUCCCAAUUCGAACCCUCAAUCGAAAAUUUAGGUUCCCUUCAAUCCAAAAUCGCCGAGUUCCCUUCAAUCUGAAAUUUGUCAAUUUCAUUUGCAGUUUUGCGAUUCUUCUUCUUCUUGGGAAUGCAGUCCAAGAGGAUUUUGAUGGAGCUCAAGGAGAAAGAUCCUCCUACUUCUCAAACUGAUGUCACAUUAAUCCUCUGGAGACAAGCUGGUCUGAUUAAUCCUCUGGAGAGACUAAUUCUCAUAUAUGAUGUUGUUUCCAAUUCCAUAUUCUGGCAGAGAUGAGAUUAUUGAGUGGGAUAAGGAAGUUAAACAGUUAGGUAAGACACUCUUGGGCUAUUCUCUCAAGGAUUGGGAGUGGAGGUUGAUAAGUUGAAAGAGAUGUCAUGUUCAGGAGACAGAGUUAUGGCAGGCCACUAUUAUCCAUAUUGUCCCCAGCUCAACAAGACAGUUCGGAACUUGUGAUCGCAUCCCAUACUGAUCCUGGCGUUCUCACACUGUUGUUGCAGGAUCAAUUUGGUGGGUUCCAAGUUAAACAUGAGGGGAAAUGGGUUAAUGUCAAGCCAAUCCAAGGUGCACUUGUUACCAAUGUCGGCGACUUGCUUCGGCUCCUCUCGGAUGAUAAGUACAUGAGUGUAGAAUACCGAGCGUAUGAUAAUCCUCAGCAAGAACCACGGGUUUCAGUUGUUGUGUUCUUCAACCUAAGCACGAGGGAAAACUUGUACGGACCCCUACCAGAGAUAGUAUCACCUGAAGAGCCUGCACUAUACAACCAUCGAAUUAUUCCUCGGUGCAAGAUUUCAACCAAGAAUGAAUUAAAUCGUUAAUGCACUAAACAUCGAGAUGUGAGGAUGAAAAUGAUUGUUCAAAGGCUGGAGUUGAAACAAGUUCAAGUGGUGGUCAAGCCUGCUGAUAAAUCAGUGGAACGGCUGAAAGACUACAUCAAUGUUAGAGCAUGGAGGGGUUAAGUUUGUCAAAGAUAGGGGAAAUCGGGUUUUGAAGUGUUGUAGGUCUUUUCCUAGUAUGUUGACAUCCUAGAGUUUUGUGGUGUUCCACCAAUAGAACUAGAGAGGCGGUUGCAUGAGGUACUUGAAGCAAGACAAGAACUACGGAUAACAGAACUCGAAGCACAUCUAGAACGCAUGAAGAAAAGGCUUGAGAAGGAGGUAGAAGUCACUUGGUGGAAAGACACUGCUAAGCAUAUCUCCAAGCAAGUCCCUGAAUCUUCCCGUGCCUUGAGUAUCCUCUGCAAAAGAAUGGCAUGGAUUCUGGAUAUUAUGUCAUGAGAUUCAUUUAAGAGAUGCUUGACCAUAAGCAAACUCGAAUAUUUGAAAGAUUACUUUCAUGAUUGCAAUGUUCCGAAUUAUGAUCAAGAACAGAUUGAUGAAGUCAGAGCUCAAUGGACUCGUCGUGUUCUUCUCGUGUGAAUACUGUGGUGGAUUAAUUGUAUUUUUAUUCUAAUUUUAGUGUGUUGAUUUGAAAUUAAAAGAAGUAUUAUAUAACAUAGAUACUUCUUUCUUUUUUCUAUUUUUUUUCUAGUGUGUUUAAUUAGAUAACAUUGCAUAUGAUUUUAAGUUUUGGGACAUGAGACGUUUAUUUGAUAUGAUAGAAAUGAAAUUAGAUGUUAUGUAUAUAUAUUCAAUUUUUUUUC